CAGCAGCCACGGGAAUACGGAGGGAGCUAGCGUUGUUCGGAAUUACUGGGCGUAAAGCGCACGUAGGCGGUUAUUCAAGUCAGAGGUGAAAGCCCGGGGCUCAACCCCGGAACUGCCUUUGAAACUAGAUGACUAGAAUCUUGGAGAGGUCAGUGGAAUUCCGAGUGUAGAGGUGAAAUUCGUAGAUGUUCGGAAGAACACCAGUGGCGAAGGCGACUGACUGGACAAGUAUUGACGCUGAGGUGCGAAAGCGUGGGGAGCAAACAGGAUUAGAUACCCGGGUAGUCCCUGUCUCUUAUAC
rnacentral:rRNA from 1 species